rnacentral:rRNA from 1 species
UUAUUAAAUGGCUGCAGUAUUCUGACUGUACAAAGGUAGCAUAAUCAUUUGUCUUUUAAUUGGAGUCUGGAAUGAAUGGUUGGAUGAGGGGUAAUCUUUCUUUGUUUUGUUUUGAUGAAUUUGAUUUGUAUGUAAAAAAGCAUAUAUAUAUUUAAAGGACGAGAAGACCCUAUAGAACUUUAUUAUAUCUUUUAUAGAUAUAUUUUAGAUAUUAUCUUUUAUUUAUAAAAGUUAUAAUUGUAUUGGGGUGAUAAAAAAAAUUUAAUAACUUUUUUUGUUUUAUUACAUUUAUGUAUGUUUAAUUGAUCUUUUAUUAAGGAUUACGAGACUAAGUUACCUUAGGGAUAACAGCGUUAUUUUAUCAUAGAGUUCAUAUCGAAGAUAAAGUUUGCGACCUCGAUGUUGGAUUAAAAUAGGUAGUAGGGGUAGGUUUUUACU